AAGAAAUGAAGAUGCUAAGAUUGGUCUCGGUGUUGAAAUGAAGCCACUUAGAUCCAACUCUGAUCUUGAUAAGGCA
ensembl:snoRNA